CCUACGGGUGGCAGCAGUGAGGAAUAUUGGUCAAUGGGCUUACGCCUGAACCAGCCAAGUCGCGUGAGGGAAGACUGCCCUAUGGGUUGUAAACCUCUUUUGUCAGGGAGCAACGCCGGCUACGUGUAGCCGGACGGAGAGUACCUGAAGAAAAAGCAUCGGCUAACUCCGUGCCAGCAGCCGCGGUAAUACGGAUGAUGCGAGCGUUAUCCGGAUUUAUUGGGUUUAAAGGGUGCGUAGGCGGAAGGCUAAGUCAGCGGUAAAAUGGCGGGGCUCAACCUCGCUCCGCCGUUGAAACUGGCGUACUUGAGUGGGCGAGAAGUAUGCGGAAUGCGUGGUGUAGCGGUGAAAUGCAUAGAUAUCACGCAGAACUCCGAUUGCGAAGGCAGCAUACCGGCGCUCAACUGACGCUGAAGCACGAAAGCGUGGGGAUCGAACAGGAUUAGAUACCCGGGUAGUA
rnacentral:rRNA from 1 species